rnacentral:rRNA from 1 species
CCUACGGGAGGCAGCAGUGAGGAAUAUUGGUCAAUGGCCGUAAGGCUGAACCAGCCAAGUCGCGUGAAGGAAGAAGGAUCUAUGGUUUGUAAACUUCUUUUAUAGGGGAAUAAAGGUAUCCACGUGUGGAUAUUUGCAUGUACCCUAUGAAUAAGCAUCGGCUAACUCCGUGCCAGCAGCCGCGGUAAUACGGAGGAUGCGAGCGUUAUCCGGAUUUAUUGGGUUUAAGGGGGGCGUAGGUUGUUUUUUAAGUCAGCGGUGAAAGUUUGUGGCUCAACCAUAAAAUUGCCGUUGAAACUGGAAGACGUGAGUGUGUUUGAGGUAGGCGGAAUGCGUGGUGUAGCGGUGAAAUGCAUAGAUAUCACGCAGAAGUCCGAUUGCGAAGGCAGCUUACUAAGCCAUAACUGACACUGAAGCACGAAAGCGUGGGGAUCAAACAGGAUUAGAUACCCCGGUAGUC